rnacentral:tRNA from 1 species
UAGAAUUUAGGUUAAGAUAAACCAGUUGCCUUCAAAGCAGUUAAUAAGCAUCAAGCUUAAUUCUAA